rnacentral:tRNA from 1 species
GUCCCCAUCGUCUAGCUAGGCCUAGGACAUCGCCUCCUUUCACGGGCGGUAACCGGGGUUCGAAUCCCCGUGGGGACGCCA